rnacentral:ncRNA from 2 species
CCAUCACGACAGGGGAGCGCGAGACGCGCUGAGAGUGCGGCAGCCCAGACGGCCGAGCCGCAGACCCUCGAACCUGCUCCGGUUAGCACCGGCGAAGGAAGUCGGUAUUUCUCAGGU